GACGAACGCUGGCGGCGUGCUUAACACAUGCAAGUCGAACGGUAAGGCCCUUCGGGGUACACGAGUGGCGAACGGGUGAGUAACACGUGGGUGAUCUGCCCUAUACUUCGGGAUAAGCCUGGGAAACUGGGUCUAAUACCGGAUAGGACCACUGCCUGCAUGGGUGGUGGUGGAAAGCUUGUGCGGUGUGGGAUGGGCCCGCGGCCUAUCAGCUUGUUGGUGGGGUGAUGGCCUACCAAGGCGAGGACGGGUAGCCGGGCUGAGAGGGUGACCGGCCACACUGGGAAUGAGAUACGGCCCAGACUCCUACGGGAGGCAGCAGUGGGGAAUAUUGCACAAUGGGCGAAAGCCUGAUGCAGGGACGCCGCGUGAGGGAUGACGGCCUUCGGGUUGUAAACUUCUUUCAGCACCGACGAAGCGCAAGUGACGGUAGGUGCAGAAGAAGGACCGGCCAACUACGUGCCAGCAGCCGCCGCAG
rnacentral:rRNA from 1 species